GGCUCGGUGGUGGAUGGUCCAUACCUGCAUUUCCUUAGAACCUUGUUUUGGGAUUUAUGCAGGAGGCGCCCGUUCGACUCGGGCCUGAGCCA